AGAAAAAUACAUGCUUACCUGGAAAACAUUAUGCUGAGUCAAGCUGUGUCGGGUCUUAGUUGUGGCACACAGAGUCUUUGCUGAGUAACUCAGACCCAAGUCCUGGCCGUUCCUGUAGACUGUGU